rnacentral:lncRNA from 1 species
UGGCCACUACCCUCAAGCUCCAACCCCAAACCCAUCCCACAACCACUCUCCACCCAAACCCAUCUAACAACCACCAUCCAGGUUUUUAAAAAAAUUUUGGGGUUUGAGUAUGGCUAUUGGUGGGGCGAUAAGUUUGUUUGUGGCUGGCUACGUUGGAGCAUCGAUGGCUGUGUGUGGGUGGGUGGCUGUGUGGGAUGCGGCAUGGGGGUGGGUUGAGAAAGCUUUAAUUGGUUGAGCUGAAUCACAGAGUGUAAAGCUCCUUACUUGAAGCGAAAAGCUUUAGACCCG